AACCAGACUCCUACGGGAGGCAGCAGUGGGGAAUAUUGCACAAUGGGGGAAGCCCUGAUGCAGCGACGCCGCGUGAGUGAAGAAGUAUUUCGGUAUGUAAAGCUCUAUCAGCAGGGGAGAAAAUGACGGUACCUGACUAAGAAGCCCCGGCUAACUACGUGCCAGCAGCCGCGGUAAUACGUAGGAGGCAAGCGUUAUCCGGAUUUACUGGGUGUAAAGGGAGCGUAGACGGUGAUGCAAGUCAGAAGUGAAAGCCCGGGGCUCAACUCCGGGACUGCUUUUGAAACUGUGUGACUGGAGUGCAGGAGAGGUAAGCGGAAUUCCUGGUGUAGCGGUGAAAUGCGUAGAUAUCAGGAGGAACACCAGUGGCGAAGGCGGCUUACUGGACUGUAACUGACGUUGAGGCUCGAAAGCGUGGGGAGCAGACAGGAUUAGAUGCCCGGGUA
rnacentral:rRNA from 1 species